rnacentral:rRNA from 1 species
CCUACGGGAGGCAGCAGUGGGGAAUAUUGCACAAUGGGGGAAACCCUGAUGCAGCGACGCCGCGUGAGUGAAGAAGUAUUUCGGUAUGUAAAGCUCUAUCAGCAGGGAAGAAAAUGACGGUACCUGACUAAGAAGCCACGGCUAACUACGUGCCAGCAGCCGCGGUAAUACGUAGGGGGCAAGCGUUAUCCGGAUUUACUGGGUGUAAAGGGAGCGUAGACGGCCAGAUAAGUCAGAAGUGAAAGCCCAGGGCUCAACUCUGGGACUGCUUUUGAAACUGGCGGGCUAGAGUGCAGGAGAGGAAAGCGGAAUUCCUAGUGUAGCGGUGAAAUGCGUAGAUAUUAGGAAGAACACCAGUGGCGAAGGCGACUUACUGGACUGUAACUGACGUUGAGGCUCGAAAGCGUGGGGAGCAAACAGGAUUAGAUACCCUUGUAGUC